rnacentral:rRNA from 1 species
AUGUUUAUUUGCUGUCCAAAAAGUUCUCUCGCGUCACUUUUGGCCCAAGAGAAGAUAGAGUCCAAGUCUCUCACGUUCUGGAUUCAGAUUCGGACUGCACAGACAUACCUGACUCAAAACGCACACAAGUUUUUCAUACGGACUCCGAAUUGGGUGAUUUUUUUUUUGUUGGAAACUAGAUUUCGUGCACUUUCCAACCCAAUUGGAAUCACCUUCAAAUUCGUCCGGAGCGUUGAGUUGUGGACGAAACAAUCUGAUGCUGCAGCAAAAUCCGAGUCAAACUACAAGUCCAAAGGUGUUACAUCACCUCCACUUGGGCCCAUUGGCCUUGUACGACCUAGAUUUAGUUUUAGGCUGCCUUGGGACGUCCUCCCACCUCCUUGGCCGCCACCCCUUGCUCCUAUAUAA